AUGGCGGCGAUGCCGAUGCCCAGCCCCCGAUCUCUCCUGCUGCUCCUCCUCCUCGCCACCCCCUUCCUCCUCCUCCCCCUCGCCGCCUCAGCCCCCACCUCCAACCCGGACAUCGACCUGGAGUACCUCAUCAAGAACGCCGGCCUCGACGACUCCACCCCUGCCACCACCGCCACCGACCCCGAGGACGACGGCGCUCCGGACUUCCCCGGCCUCGACGCCGACUACAAAGACGAGGACGAGGACCUCUUCGGCGACGACGACGGGCCGGAGGAGUCCUCCCACCCCUCGGCGGCCGACGAGGCCCACGUGCUCCUCCUCACCGCCGCCAACUUCACCGCCGUCCUCGCCGCCCGCCGCCACGUCAUGGUCGAGUUCUACGCGCCCUGGUGCGGCCACUGCCGCGCGCUCGCCCCCCACUACUCCGCCGCCGCGACGCACCUCGCCGAGCAGGGGGUCGACGUCGCGCUGGCCAAGGUGGACGCCACCGAGGACCACGACCUGGCGCAGGCGCACGGCGUGCAGGGCUACCCCACCCUCCUCUUCUUCAUCGACGGCGUGCCCAGGGACUACUCCGGCGAGAGGACCAAGGACGCCAUUGUGGCUUGGAUCGGCAAGAAGCUGGGCCCUGCGGUGCAGAACCUCACCACCGUCGACGAGGCCGAGAAGAUCGUCACCGGCGACGACGUGGCCGUGCUCGCAUUCCUCGACCACCUCUCGGGUGCGCACAGCGAUGAGCUUGCUGCCGCCUCGAGGCUGGAAGAUACAAUCAGCUUCUACCAGACCACCAGCCCUGACGUAGCCAAGCUUUUCCACAUUGACCCGGAGGCAAAGCGCCCAUCAGUAGUCCUGCUCAAGAAAGAGGAGGAGAAGUUGACCGUUUUUGAUGGCGAGUUCAGAGCUUCUGCGAUUGCCGAGUUUGUUUCGGCCAACAAAAUCCCAUUGAUCACCACACUCACACAGGAGACCGCCCCUGCGAUUUUCGACAAUCCGAUCAAGAAGCAAAUUUUGCUAUUUGCUGUUGCGAAGGAGUCCUCAAAAUUUCUGCCCAUCAUUAAGGAAACAGCAAAGUCAUUCAAGGGAAAGCUUUUAUUUGUCUUUGUGGAGCGUGACAACGAGGAGGUUGGUGAACCUGUCGCCAAUUACUUUGGAAUUACUGGAAACGAGACCACGGUUCUUGCUUACACUGGGAAUGAAGACGCUAAGAAGUUCUUCUUCAGUGGUGAAAUAUCACUGGACACCAUUAAGGAAUUUGCUCAAGAUUUCCUGGAGGACAAGCUCACACCAUCCUACAAGUCUGACCCAGUACCUGAAUCUAAUGAUGAGGACGUCAAAGUUGUUGUUGGCAAGAGUCUAGAUCAAUUAGUUUUGGAUGAGUCAAAGGAUGUCCUUUUGGAGGUAUAUGCACCAUGGUGUGGGCAUUGUCAGUCGCUGGAGCCUAUCUACAACAAGCUGGCCAAGUAUCUCCGUGGCAUCGACUCCCUUGUAAUAGCCAAAAUGGACGGCACAAACAAUGAGCAUCCUCGUGCCAAGCCCGAUGGAUUCCCCACGAUACUCUUCUAUCCAGCUGGGAAGAAAAGCUUUGAGCCUAUAACUUUCGAGGGGGACCGGACGGUGGUGGAGAUGUACAAGUUCCUCAAGAAGCAUGCCGCCAUCCCUUUCAAGCUGAAGCGCCCGGACUCGUCAGCGGCACGGACCGACGGCCCAGGCUCGACGGCCGAGGGCGAGAAGAGCUCCGGUUCGAACCCGAAGGACGAGUUGUAG
rnacentral:rRNA from 1 species